GGCGAGCCGGAGGGUCGUCGGGAAAAAACUCUGAACCGUACUCAUGACUUCGGGAGCCGCUCCGUACGGGUUUGUGCAUGCUGCCUCGUCGCAGAAGCCUUCCCCCGUGCCCUUGUGCACCCACCUGGUUGAGCCAGGUUCGAGUCAUCGCCUGACGAACCCUCCGGCGUUUUU
rnacentral:other from 1 species